CACACCAAGGGACAAUUUAGAUCAGGGGUGGACAAUUCCAGUCCUGGAGAGCCAUUAUCCUGCAUGUUUUCCAUCUCUCCCUGUUGCAACACACCUGAUUGAAAUGAACAUCAGAUCUUCCU